CAUAUGUAUGUGCGUGUGUGCGUUUAUUGUGCACCACAAUACACAAUAUACUAAUACUAAUACAUCAACAUCACACAUACAUGGCAACAUUUAAGCGCCUACAAGGAUGCUCGAGCAGAAGCUAAAACAAAUCACUAUCAGCCAAGAAAGCAACCAUAGAAAAUAAUGGAUGUAUUCAGCUAGUUCAACUAAAUCUUUAUACAUAUACACAAACCAAUUGGAAAGCGACCACUUUUGACUCAAUUAAUAGAGAGAAAAAGGCCGUCUUGCCACCGCAAUAAGAAGGAACCGCAACAAUAGCAAAGAGCUACUAAGCACUGCCAUCUAAAAAAAAACUGCAUCAAACUGCGAUUGAAUUCAGAAAAUAUAAUUGCAGCCAAGCAAGAAGAACAAGUAACAAUUAUAUUGCGCAAUAUAUAAAAAAUAUACAU